GACGAACGCUGGCGGCGUGCCUAAUACAUGCAAGUUGAGCGCUGAAGGUUGGUACUUGUACCAACUGGAUGAGCAGCGAACGGGUGAGUAACGCGUGGGGAAUCUGCCUUUGAGCGGGGGACAACAUUUGGAAACGAAUGCUAAUACCGCAUAAAAACUUUAAACACAAGUUUUAAGUUUGAAAGAUGCAAUUGCAUCACUCAAAGAUGAUCCCGCGUUGUAUUAGCUAGUUGGUGAGGUAAAGGCUCACCAAGGCGAUGAUACAUAGCCGACCUGAGAGGGGGAUCGGCCACAAUGGGACUGAGACACGGCCCAAACUCCUACGGGAGGCAGCAGUAGGGAAUCUUCGGCAAUGGACGAAAGUCUGACCGAGCAACGCCGCGUGAGUGAAGAAGGUUUUCGGAUCGUAAAACUCUGUUGGUAGAGAAGAACGUUGGUGAGAGUGGAAAGCUCAUCAAGUGACGGUAACUACCCAGAAAGGGACGGCUAACUACGUG
rnacentral:rRNA from 1 species